UAUAUACGUGUCUGUGUGUGUCUCUUUCUCCCUCCGUCUCAGCGUUGAGCGUUGGGGUGAUCGUGUUGCGGUUGCAUUCGAAACUAGCGGGCGGCUACUUCUCGAAGGACCAGGGAAGGCCGCUGUUCCUUCUCCCCCGCCGCAACCACGGCGGAGUCCUCCUGCCGCUCCGCGGCGCGUUCCAGCAGCAGCUGCCGCCGUUUCGACGACUGUGCCGCCAACUUGCGAGCAGCGGCAGAAGCGGUAGUUGUCGCUGCUGCUGCUUCUUCGGCACCACCUUCCGGAGCGACGACAGAGGCUGCUUCCCGCGGCACCCCGACCACUAGCCGCCGGAGCACGAGGAGCGCGACGAGCGGCCGCGGUCUACCUAGCUGGAGCUGCGGAGCAAGGACGCCCCGUUGCCGUCGCCGUGGCCGCCGUGGUCGGCAGCAACCGCGGUAGGAGGGGCGGCGGUUGCGAGCAGUGGCGGGCACGGGUAUGGGAAGUCGACGCCGUUGCCCUGCAGUAGCAGCAGAUGCGGUGAUACGGCAGCGGGGGCACCCCGUUACGGUGGUGGCCGACGUAGCGGUAGAGGUCGCCGCGGCCUUGCCGGGCACGGCGCCGGCGGAAGCACGGGCCUGAUGAAGUCCGUGUAGGUGAGCCUGGAACGCGGCACCGCGCUCUUCCCCUAGUCGUCCCUCCGCCACCUCGUGCCGGUCGGCUUGCGUCGCAAGGCCGACUGCCACCAGAAGCCCGCGCGCAUGCACCUCUGCAUGGUGGCGCACAAGGUCUGCGCCCUGGAUAAGUGCGUCACCCCCUAGCGCGUCGACGAGCGGGCGAUGGGUCCGGCGCAGGGCCUGGAGCUGGAGUACAAGUUGACGCUCCUGUACGGCCUCGACGCGCGGCGGCUGAUGGGCCUGUGGAGGCGGCGCGGCGGCGAGAAGGCGAUGACGUUCCUGCCGUGGAGCCAGCUCCAGGAGAAGGGCCUGACCAGGAAGACCCCGACCGGCCUCCAGUUGUAGGCAGGUACCCCCGGCGAGUACUUCCUCUAGCGGUUCCUCUUGCGCGCCGAGGGGACCGGCCUGUCCCUCGGCAUGCGCAAGACCUUCCCGUUGGGAGUGCACAGCCUUCGCGCGGCGCUGGAGAAGGCGACGUCGUUGCUAAGGCGGCGGCCGUUUCUGACCUUGCGCGCCGACAAGCGCGACCUGACCCCGCGGCGGUUGGCCUUGCCGAAGUUCCCGAGGUUGGACCGCCUCGUCACGGCCAUGUCCAUGUUCUAGAUGCACGUCCCCGCCAGCACCAGCCACUCGCUCUUCAUGUAAGAGCGUACGCUGAGCGGCUACGACCGGUAGCUGUGCGGGAAGCUCCUGAAGAAGAGGGCCCCCGAGCAGCGGCCGGCGGUGAUGACCGGGUAGCUGGGGUCCCUGUUCACGGCGCGCCAGUUCAAGCGGCAGCUGACCCCCUUGCCCGUAGGCCGCGACCGGGUCGCGUACCCGUUCCUCCCGUCGCCCAAGCGCUCCCUCCUCUACUCGUACCUGAUGCAAAUGCUGAUGUACAACGUGCACGAGUGGGUCAUGCGACGGGACGAGGCCAUGUUCGGGUGGCACGGCCUCUUGCGGCACCUCGAGACGGGGCUCAGGUACCGGACGAGGCGGGUUCCGGCCCUGUCCCUCAAGUACUACCUCAGGUCCCUCUACAUACACCGGCCUAUGCUCGGUACGUGCAACGGCGGCGGCAAGUGGCGGCUCCUCCUCUCCCUCUACCGACGCUCCCUUCUCCUACACGCUUCUUCUCAUCAAUUUUACCUCCCCUCCAUCGUCGAGUGGAAUGAUCUUUACCAUCUAAUAUGUUCAACUAAAUCACACCGUCUCGUUCUCACUGUCUCGUUCUAGUUGGUUACCUUGUCCAUUUGUAUGUUUCUACUUCUGUUCGAAUCUCAUAGAUAGAUAAUAUAAUACUUUUGUUUUCUGUUUGCUCUGUGGUGUAAAUAGGUGUAUACGAUUAUAAUAAUGGUGGCAAACUAGUCUUAUUAUUACCGAUUCUAAAUUUCAAUAAACCCAUUGUACGAUCGUAUACGCUAGGUCCUAUAACUUGGCAGUGCAGAUACGUAUUAUUCGUAGAUUUUAUUCUAUGUAGCAUUUGCCUUCCUUCGUGGCUAACCCUAACUAACUAAUAUUUUCCGCAUUUUUUUUCAUGUACGUUUGGUACAAAUAAACCGAUUUUCUGUUCACAUAACUAAUCCUCUAUGUCUCAGGAUUAGGUAGUGCACGGAUAUACAUUCUUCCUAUAAUGCUCAGAUUUGGGAUGUGACGGCGCCGGAUUUUCUAGUAUCUUAAAGUAAGGGAGAAUUUUUUCCAGAACCUAAGAGUAGGAGCGCGGUGUUAGUGUAGGUAGAAGUUACGGGAACCGGCUCGAGGAACUCUUUCGAGCUGCGAAAGAGCGAGACGACUAGGGGAAAAGAAAAACACGACUCCAAUCGUUUUUAUUUGUACCCGUUCGUUUUUACUUUUUCGAACCUCUAUUUCGUUAUUGUCUUGCUAUACAGCUAAGGGAGAAAGCCAAACACGGGUCGAAUCACCUUUAGUACCCGUUCGUAUUGACCUUUUCAAACCUCUACUUCGUUAUUGUUUUGCAUACGGCUAGGGGAGAAACCAAACACGGUUCGAAUCACUUUUAGUACCCGUUCGUCUUGACCCUUUUGAUCCUCUACUUCGUUAUUGUCUUGCUAGUCCUUCCAAGACCCGCUGAGCCUACCCGCCCGCUACCUUAGUAGUAACCACCUCCAAGUUCCUGCUACCGCACCUACGGUGAUACUAAAAACCGGGAGGUCCUUUGGAUCCGUCGUUUAUUUUUCCCGGUACCGUUUUUAGUGCAUGUCUCGACCAUCCGUAAAGACUUUUAAUCUAUAACCGGAAUGUGAACCCGUUUUAUUGAAAAGAUAUCUAUUCUUACCCCAACUUUCCUAGAAGGCGCACUUUUUAUAAAGUCUAUUACCGUACAAACCUCAACCACGGUAUGAAAACUCCAAACUACAUCAGAUUGCACGUAGUUACUUUAUCUCUUUAUUUCAGAUUAUAAUAUGUAUAAAGAUAGGAAAAACAUAAAAGAAGAUAGUAAACAUAUAAACCCGUGAGCCCAUUAAAGUGUCCAAAUUAUAACAUAUAAAAGAACUAUAAAACCACGGAACCUAUAUAACGCUUGCUAUGAGCGCAGAAUAGAAUACAAGAAGUAAUAUAACACUUGCCCAACUUUAUUGCUAUCCGAUAACUAAAACUGUAAUACGUCAAACUGGUUGGAUAACUACUACACAUGGAAGUCUAAGUACACUAGAAGAGUAGAAAACGUUGAUUCUUAACAAGAAAAGAGGUGCAGACGAUAAUGUCGUUUGAUGGGGUGGCCAUAAACACCUAGUUUUCGUCUGGUUACGGAUGUUUAAAAGGUAGAAUGUCUUCAAGUAAGUACAGGUACCAUUUGUUUAGGACAACGUAUAAUACGAGUAAUCCACAACUACUAGUACGAUUUAUUCCCGACGAAAGAUAGUAGUUAAGAUCCACAUUGCACGGGAGUGUCAUACCAGCUUCAGUAUCUUACAAUGCGAUACACGAAGAAUAUGAGAGAGUGCAGGGUUUUAUUCACAACGCCUGCCUCCCUCAUAAUCCAUCGUAGGAAGGG
rnacentral:rRNA from 1 species